GACGGGGGAUGCACGCGUUCUCCGGAAUCACUGGGCGUAAAGCGUCUGUAGGUGGUGAUGCAAGUCACUGGUGCAAAACUCUGGCUCAACCGGAGGAAAGCCAGUGAAACUGCAUGACUAGAGUGUGGGAGAGGUAGAAGGAAUUCCCUGAGUAGCGGUGAAAUGCGUAGAUACAGGGAAGAACACCGGAGGCGAAAGCGUUCUACUGGAACACAACUGACACUGAGAGACGAAAGCUAGGGGAGAGAAUGGG
rnacentral:rRNA from 1 species